rnacentral:rRNA from 1 species
CUACGUGCCAGCAGCCGCGGUAAUACGUAGGUCCCGAGCGUUGUCCGGAUUUAUUGGGCGUAAAGCGAGCGCAGGCGGUUAGAUAAGUCUGAAGUUAAAGGCUGUGGCUUAACCAUAGUACGCUUUGGAAACUGUUUAACUUGAGUGCAAGAGGGGAGAGUGGAAUUCCAUGUGUAGCGGUGAAAUGCGUAGAUAUAUGGAGGAACACCGGUGGCGAAGGCGGGUCUCUGGGCCGUUACUGACGCUGAGGAGCGAAAGCGUGGGGAGCGAACAGGAUUAGAUACCCUGGUAGUCCACGCUGUAAACGUUGGGCACUAGGUGUGGGGGCCACCCGUGGUUUCUGCGCCGUAGCUAACGCUUUAAGUGCCCCGCCUGGGGAGUACGGCCGCAAGGCUAAAACUCAAAGGAAUUGACGGGGGCCCGCACAAGCGGCGGAGCAUGCGGAUUAAUUCGAUGCAACGCGAAGAACCUUACCAAGGCUUGACAUGC